GAAGAACCAGCAGGCACUGCACUUGACACAGCUGUGUGCAAUUGCUGGGGCUGUUUACUUCCCUCUGGGGCAGGAGCAGUCCUUGGGUUGGAGAAUUGAGUGUGGGAGAGCAACAAAGCUCGGUCUGCAGCUCCCUUAAUUGAUGUGAGAACAGCUGGAGCUGUUCUGCACUGCAUGGCAGGCAGCCCUGAGGACCCUUGUGCUUGGCUGCUGCAGCUUGCCUGUCUCCCUGGGUUUGGAGCACCCAAGUGAGUCAGAUUUCAUCUGGGUGGAACAGCAGCACCAUGGGCCAGGUGGGAAGUUCUCAAUACUUGCCUGAAGAGAUUGCAGCAGGGAAAAAGGCUGAAACACCAAUGUGGAAGAGGAUUUCUUCCAAGGAUUUACUCCUGGAGCCCUCUCCCAUGGGCUCCGUGCGUGGUGUGGGACUGGCAGUGGGGCAGCAGGGAGGCAGAGGGCCCUGAGCCCAGCCCAGCCAUGGGGCACUCAUUGAAGCUCUGUGAGGUGCUGCUAACGAGGCGGUGCCACUUAGCAGGCCCUGGGAGGGAGCACAGCAAUGUGCCUGGGCCACUUCUGCUUGAGCCACGGCCGCCUCUCGCAUGAAGAGAGAUCUCAGGAGUGGGAAUUAAUUUCAAAAGGCCCUUUUUUUUUUUCCUUAUCUUUUGCUCAUUAAGUUGUUCAGGAAAAAUCAACUAAUGAGAUUAUUUGCCAGAAAAAUUGUCCAGCUGGUGCUCUUGAGCGCUGGUUUGUGCUGUGGAGGGUGCCAUGUUGUUAACAGCUCAGAGAUGGCGUUGAGCACUGCCUGUUUCCCAGCUGCAUGCAGGGCUCUCGCUGAGCUUCUCCUCCUGAGAGCUUCUCUUAUUUUUCCCCCUUUUUUUUUUUAAUCUGCAUGUGGAUCUCAUGCCUCCUUCCUGAUAGCAGUCACGUGGAUGCUGCCUGCAUCUGAACUGAGCAUAUGGCUCAGCAUUCCAGGCACAGUGGCUGAGCCCUCCUGUAGGGAAGGUAACAUCUGCCAGCUCCCGCAGCCUGUAAUCAAACCUACGGAGGCAGAACUGCCAAUGUCGUGUCAAAGUGGCAAAUUUACAUCCUGGGGCAAGAGGCUUCACUUCUGGCAGGCUGUUGGCUUGAUUCGGGUCUUAAUUAUUGUCAUAGUUGUAACCUUGAUGUUAGGAAGGAAAACAGAGCCUGCUGAUGGGAACUUGGUGCUCCAAGCGCUGCCCUGGAGUCCCACCAGGUUUAGCUUCACCUGGGAAGGCUCAAAGUCUCUCCUGUUUCCAUUGGGCACCUACAGGUAUCCCUGGGGAUUUGUGAAGUGGAGUAAAGUGAAAGCUUCCAAUUCCAAGGGCUAUGAAGCUGCACAGGUGGCUGAUUCUCAUCCUGGAUUCCAGAUCUUGCAGAAGUUCCAGAUCUUGCUGCAGGUGCUCCAGUGCAUCUUCAACCCCACUCUGUGGUGGGAUGGAAAUGGAGGCUGACAGAACUCAGCAAAUCUGAGCCAAAAAAGCCCUUAUUUGGGGAGGUAUUAAUAGAAGAGCUCUACAAAGAUGGGAGUAUUAUUAGAAGGUCCUAAUAUAGCUUAAUCUUAGCAUGCUGCAUCUAAUUUUGGAGCGGGGCUACUUUAAAAAGAAAGAGGGAGAAUUAUAAAACAGCAGUGAUGAUGGGAGGCUUAGAGAUUGUUGUGGAUGAGGAAAGGUCAGAAUAAUUUUCUGGCUCAUUGAUGGAGUGGUGGCACGUGAUGUGCACCUGAAAACCCUGUGGAGUUUCCUUUCUCUGAGGAUUUUGGAAGAGUGGAGCAGCUGCAGAGGUCUGGAUAGGCUGGGUGUCAGCGCUCUGAGUUAUGGCAGUGGCAGUUGCAGCCACCAGGCAAAACCCAGAGUCCUACUGACAAAGAUUGGAGGUAACUCUGUGUUCAGCAGUCAGAAAGCAAGGGAAGGGCUGGAGACAUUAAACACCACUUACAUCCCAGCUGUCAGGAAACAAAUUGGAUUUUUCAAGAGAAAACAUGGGAAUAAUGUUGACUUUCUUUAUGAAAAUUCCAUUGAAAGCUUUUUCCACUGUAGUUCUUCCUGGAUCUUCAUUUUAACCCAAAUGCCUUGCAAGAAAUUAGCUUAAAUUAUUAUCCUUCUGAUACAAGAGGAAAUACUCAGAAUUGUCAAAUGAGGGACUGCACAUCAAAGGUAGAACAGAUAAAUACAUUUUACUCAUGUCGUUUUUUAUGGCAUUUACCUUAAGCUAUUAAAAGUUUUACUGCAGUAGUUACAUGUACACUGAUUUGCAUUUUAGACUGCAUGAAUUUUAAUGAUCUCCUUUGAACUUGAUUUAAUGCCUCUGAGAUUGACAAUAAGAUCUCUACCAUAUUUCCUCAUAUAUAAUCUUCUGAUAGCUUCCCCCACUGCACGCAGCUGGGCUGAGCAAGCUGAUGCCACAGCCUGACUCUGAGGUUCAUUAAUAUCAUCAAAGAUCUGUGUGGAGAUGGUGGAGAUAAUCUGGAGCUCAUGCAGGAAAAUCUGCUCUUCAAAGAAUAAUUAACUUUGACUCCUGCUCAGCUCAGAGUUUAUCAGCGAGGUUAGGAUGAAUUGUUUCAAGGUGUGUUUUUUAAAAGGAUUGUGGCUUCAUUAUCAGAGCACCAAUGGCCUCUAACAAAUUCAGUGUUGCACCGGGGCUGCUUUGCAGGAGAUGGGAAGGAAGGACAGGCUAGAUGUUAGGCUUUAUAAGCAGGUUCUGAGCAGCGAGGCUGUCCUGCCCUGCAGGUAACCUGGGCUCUUUGCCUGCUGAGUGCUCCCUGCUGGCCAUGGGUGUGCAGCUCUGGGCUCCACUGCCACCGGUUGGGGCUGGGCUGUGUGUGCAGGGCAUUGCCUGGGGCAAGGGGAGCCCUCACCAACAUGGAUAGAGAAUUAAUACCCACAGCCAUCAACUGUAGUGGAAGUUUGUCCCAAAGAAGAGUGGGGGUCAGCUAAUAAACCUGUGCUUAGUCAGGGUAUGUCAUGAACUCGGAGGGCUGGCUUUGCAUGCUGGAGCGACAAGGCAGUUAUGAAAGCCAAAGGGUUCAUGCAGACCCUGCUGGCUUCUGCAGGGCUUGUCUUGGCCCUAAUGAAGGCAGCAGGGAUCACCAGCACAGCUCUCCUCUGCCCACAGAGAGCUGCAGGGGCUGCCCAGACGCUGUCACUGUGCUUAUAGAUGAGAAAGGGGCCGGAGCAACGCUGCACCUCCAGCGGCCGUCUGUAGGGUCUGUGCUGUGCGCGUCGCAGGAGCAGAGACCGGCUGCAGGUGAUGGUGGUGAAGGUGGAUGGCAGCAGAGAUACUGCUGUACUGUGGGGAUCCCCAGUGGUGCCUCUUCCGUGGAAAUAUCAUAAAGGCAUUAGGAAACGCCAGUCAAUGUUCAGUGACAUAUCUGUACCUACAUAUUGCCAGGGCUGAAGCUGUUCAUGCACUGAGUUUGUGUUUUGCAGCUGCUGGUUAUGUGACAGGAAUGAUGGUUAAAUUGAGAGUUUCGUUGUUUCAUGGAUGCAGUGUGGAUUUGAGCACUUCCCUGGGCGGCAAUAUUUCCCUAUUUUCCAGAACCCCAUAGAGAUGUUAAUGAUACAUUAAGCACUAACUGGAAGCCAUAACACCUUACCAGAGGAGAUAUUUAGGUAGUGGAACACUUUGGGAAACUUAAUCUGUUUUCCAGUUUUGCUGCAGAUUUCUGCAAGACAUCUUAAAUACUUACUGCUUUGUGGCUCAUUCCUUAUAGAACAGAGGCAGUUCUCUUUUUGCAUGCUUCUAUUAUUCUUGUAUGGAUUUUCAGCUAGUGGCAGCACUGAUAGAUGGCUUUCUCUUCAGGUGGUGUAGGUGAGGUACCUUAUUAAUUAACAUUUAUUAACUAUUUUUUUGUUCAGAUGAGAGAAUGUGAACUACAAGUCAUGUUGAACACCAGUAAUUGGAACAUCAGGAAUUUUUAUAACUGAAUAACUGAAUCAUGGGCGUGUGCCUUAGUAAUAAGCAAUAGGAAAGCUAACUCAGAACUAUUCCUAAGGGUCUCUGUAGUCAAUUAUAUGUGAGGGCUUCAUAGAGUGGAAGUCAAAUUUGAGGCUGGGAAGAACCCAUGUGCAGUCCCAGCUCUCAGCAUCUCCUCACAGCAGAGCCGCUCCUUUCCCUCCCCCAUCUCUGUGUCCCUGCCCUGGGCUCCUCAGUGAGCCCCCACCUCCUGCACUGGGCAGCCCAGCAGGGUUGUGCUGUGCCCUCAGGGUCCCUCCCACACCUGCUGUUGGGCUCUGUGUGCUGCUGCCCACUGGGCACACUGCUAGCCAUGGUCAGCUUGGUGCCCACCAGGACCUCAACUUCUCUACAUUGCUGCUCUCCAGCUGGAUGUGCACAGGGCUGUUUGCUACGGGGCAGCACUUUGU